GGCACUAUGGCCGAGUGGUUAAGGCGCUUCCCUGCUAUUACAGCAUCCUGAUCUGACAGGAAGUUCUUUCUGAGAGCGAGAGUUCGAAUCUCUCUGGUGUCG